CACGUAGGGUGCGAGCGUUGUCCGGAAUUAUUGGGCGUAAAGAGCUCGUAGGCGGUGUGUCGCGUCGGCCGUGAAAACCUGCAGCUUAACUGUGGGCUUGCGGUCGAUACGGGCAUCACUGGAGUUCGGCAGGGGAGACUGGAAUUCCUGGUGUAGCGGUGAAAUGCGCAGAUAUCAGGAGGAACACCGGUGGCGAAGGCGGGUCUCUGGGCAAUAACUGACGCUGAGGAGCGAAAGCGUGGGGAGCGAACAGG
rnacentral:rRNA from 1 species